GCAAAUGCAGGAAUGACUACAUGCAGGAACGCCCCCGAUUUGUGGGCUGCAGUUGCACACUAUUGUCGGUGUCUCAAAGACUAUUACUUGUAAACCUACAUUAGGAGAGGUUCAUUUCUUUGGCGUUAGUUAACGUUCAGCCACUACUGUGCCAAAAGAUCAGUCAGUGGCAUUGAAAAACGACCACUCGUGUGUCAAUUUCAGGCAUUUGGUUUUACUGUGCCUUAAGCUGUGUGCUGAUAUACUGGUAGGCUAAUGAGAGAAGACAAAAUUAUAGACCCAUUAUUUUUUUCUUCCAGAACCUGUCACUUUCAAAUGCAUAUCGACCACCAGUGGAAAAAUAGGUUAUGGACAAUUUGCCAGACCAUUUUACUCUUUCAUUCCCCAGAGGUCAUUGUUCGUGCCAAUUGCAUCACUGUAUCUCCUAGACCGGGGGUCGGCAACCCGCGGCUCUUUAGCGCCGCCCUAGUGGCUCCCUGGAGCUUUUUCAAAAAUAUGAAAAAGGAAAAAGAUGGUGUGAAUAUAUUUUUUGUUUUAAUAUAAUUUAUUAUCCAAUGCUGUAAAAAUGUGUAUAAUAAAUAUUUAAUUUCAACAUUUCUGUCAACGAAGAUUUACGUCAUAGCCUGCGACACACGUUUCUUUCACCUCGGCGUAGUGCCAGACAGGUGGCUGUUGCAAACAAACCGGCGGGUGUGUCAUGGGCCAUGGAUCCCAAAGGGAAAAAGAGAAAGAUAGCUGAGGAGAACAGAGGAUUCCACAGUUCUUGGACCGAAUCAUUUGCUUACAUUGCCAAUGCGGAAGGAUUGCCUGCAUGUUUGCUUUGUAAUGAGAAGUUGUCAAAUAACAAAAAGAGUAACGUGGAAAGACAAUUCCAUUCUUCCUGACAGUUAUAGGAACAUGAAGAAAUAUGCAUUUAGAGUAUUAUCCAUCUUUGGAUCAACAUACCUGUGCGAGCAGAUAUUCUCAAACAUGAACUACAUAAAAUCCAAAUACCGCACCCGCCUCACAGAUGAGAGCUUGCAGUCCUGCGUGAAGAUUAAAGUUACAUUUUACAUGCCCGAUGUUGAGAAGCUGUCCAGUGAUGUCCGAAAACAGAAGUCACAUUAAACGGGUCCGAGGAUGGCUGCAUUGUAUUGUGCGUGUCAAAAGAGAAGAGGGUGCUGCUGCAUUUUACCCUUGCACAUUUGCAGAAAACUAAAGAGAAGAGGAUAAUGCACAGAAAUCGAACUUAAACUGUAUUAUUUUAAUUUUAUAUACUCCAUGGGGAGGUCUGAAAUUACAGGAGGCCUAUUAUGCACGUUGCACAUUUUGUUGUUGUUUUUUCGAAUCCUAAAAUAAAAAUGACAUCAAAAAUCUGA